GACGAACGCUGGCGGCGUGCUUAACACAUGCAAGUCGAACGCUGAAGCUCAGCUUUUGUUGGGUGGAUGAGUGGCGAACGGGUGAGUAACACGUGAGUAACCUGCCUCCUUCUUUGGGAUAACGCCCGGAAACGGGUGCUAAUACUGGAUAUUCACUGGUCUUCGCAUGGGGGUUGGUGGAAAGGGUUUUUCUGGUGGGGGAUGGGCUCGCGGCCUAUCAGCUUGUUGGUGGGGUGAUGGCCUACCAAGACUUUGACGGGUAGCCGGCCUGAGAGGGUGACCGGUCACAUUGGGACUGAGAUACGGCCCAGACUCCUACGGGAGGCAGCAGUGGGGAAUAUUGCACAAUGGGCGCAAGCCUGAUGCAGCGACGCCGCGUGAGGGAUGGAGGCCUUCGGGUUGUGAACCUCUUUCGCUCAUGGUCAAGCCGCAACAAUGGUUGUGGUGAGGGUAGUGGGUAAAGAAGCGCCGGCUAACUACGUG
rnacentral:rRNA from 1 species